rnacentral:snRNA from 8 species
CGACUCUGGUUUCUCUUCAUUACGCACAAGCCUUUCGCCUUUUACUAAAGACUUCCGUGGAGAGGAACACUUACGAGUUCAACGUAUUUUUGGAAGGGGUUUGCUUCU